CUUUGGGUAAUGAGGAUGGCGGACGGGUGAGUAACGCGUAAGGAACUUGCCUCUUGGACUGGGACAACUGUUGGAAACGACAGCUAAUACCAGAUAUUAUGAGAUUCUCGCAUGAGAAACUUAUGAAAGCUAUAUGCGCCAAGAGAGAGCCUUGCGUUCCAUUAGCUAGUUAGUGGGGUAACGGCCCACCAAGGCGACGAUGGAUAGCCGGCCUGAGAGGGUGAACGGCCACAAGGGGACUGAGACACGGCCCUUACUCCUACGGGAGGCAGCAGUGGGGAAUAUUGGACAAUGGGCCACAAGCCUGAUCCAGCAAUUCUGUGUGCACGAUGAAGGUCUUCGGAUUGUAAAGUGCUUUCAGUUGGGAAGAAGAAAGUGACGGUACCAACAGAAGAAGCGACGGCUAAAUACGUGCCAGCAGCCGCGGUAAUACGUAUGUCGCAAGCGUUAUCCGGAUUUAUUGGGCGUAAAGCGCGUCUAGGCGGAAAAAUAAGUCUGAUGUUAAAAUGCGGGGCUCAACUCCGUAUUGCGUUGGAAACUGUUUUUCUAGAGUACUGGAGAGGUGGGCGGAACUACAAGUGUAGAGGUGAAAUUCGUAGAUAUUUGUAGGAAUGCCGAUGGAGAAGUCAGCUCACUGGACAGAUACUGACGCUGA
rnacentral:rRNA from 1 species